AUACAGAGGGUGCGAGCGUUAAUCGGAAUUACUGGGCGUAAAGCGCGCGUAGGCGGCUUGGUCAGUCGGAUGUGAAAGCCCCGGGCUCAACCUGGGAAUGGCAUUCGAUACUGCCAGGCUAGAGUAUGAGAGAGGGAAGUGGAAUUUCCGGUGUAGCGGUGAAAUGCGUAGAUAUCGGAAGGAACACCAGUGGCGAAGGCGACUUCCUGGCCCAAUACUGACGCUGAGGUGCGAAAGCGUGGGGAGCGAACAGGAUUAGAUACCCUAGUAGUCC
rnacentral:rRNA from 1 species